rnacentral:rRNA from 1 species
UACGAGGGGGGCAAGCGUUGUCCGGAUUUAUUGGGCGUAAAGAGCGUGUAGGCGGCCAUGUAGGUCCGGUGUGAAAACUCGAGGCUUAACCUCGAGAUGUCAUCGGAAACCAUUUGGCUAGAGUCCGGAAGAGGAGAGUGGAAUUCCUGGUGUAGCGGUGAAAUGCGCAGAUAUCAGGAAGAACACCAAUGGCGAAAGCAGCUCUCUGGGACGGUACUGACGCUGAGACGCGAAAGCGUGGGGAGCGAACAGG